rnacentral:rRNA from 1 species
UACAGAGGUCUCAAGCGUUGUUCGGAUUCAUUGGGCGUAAAGGGUGCGUAGGCGGCGCGGUAAGUCGGGUGUGAAAUUUCGAGGCUUAACUUCGAAACUGCAUUCGAUACUGCCGUGCUUGAGGACUGGAGAGGAGACUGGAAUUUGCGGUGUAGCGGUGAAAUGCGUAGAUAUCGUAAGGAAGACCGGUGGCGAAGGCGGGUCUCUGGACAGUUCCUGACGCUGAGGCACGAAGGCCAGGGGAGCAAACGGG